rnacentral:lncRNA from 1 species
GAGAUGUGAGUCUUGCCGAAGCUCCCGGCUGAAUAAAGCCCUUCUUUAACUCGGUGUCUGAGGGGUUUUGUCUGCGGCUUGUCCUGCUACAAUGGCAUUAAAAAAAUGUUUUCUUGUAGAGAUAGAGUCUUUCUCUGUUGCCCAGGCUAGUCUCGAACUCCUGGUCUCAAGUGAUCCUCCUGUCUAGGACCCCCAAAGUGUUGGGAUUAUAGAUAUGAACCACGGCACCCAGCCUCCACUAUUAUUUUUUAAAAUUCCUUAUGCUGCUGACUCAUGUCCCUGGCUUUAGUCUUUCAUUAAUCUGUUUCUUUCCACAGUUGCUACUGUUACUUUUUUUUUUUUUUUUUGAGAUGGAGUUUUGCUCUUGUUACACAGGCUGGAGUGCAAUGGCGUGAUCUCGGCUCACUGCACUCCACCUCCUGGGUUCAAGCAAUUCUGCCUCAGCUUCCCAAGUAGCUGGGAGAACAGGCAUGUGCCACCACGCCCAGCUAAUUUUUGUAUUUUUAGUAGAGACAGGGUUUCUCCAUGUUGGUUAGGCUGGUCUUGAAUUCUUAACAUUAGGUGAUCUGCCCACCUCGGCCUCCCAAAGUGCUGGGAUUACAGGCGUGAACUACCUCCAAAAUGCAGCCACCUACUGAGAAAUCUCUGUCAUCCAUUGAGUAGAAGAUAAAGUCCAAACUCCUUGACAGCACAUCUGAGCUCUCUGGUCAUG